UCCGAAACAUCUCGAUCUAACAUCCGAACAAAACAAGGACCCCAUUUGACGAUACACCCAUCCGAAAACAAAAAAUUAUUGUUCCGCUUCUUAGAGAUACCAUUAAGACGAAACCAUGUAAAUUUGCAAUCCAACAUCGGAUCGAAUGAUUUGUAAGCUCUAUACUAACCAUAAAACUCCCUAACUAAUUCAUGUCCACCGAUCACCCCACAAAAUUAUUGUGACUCACCCCAUUCUUUCCUCUCUCCUACUAUAACCGCAUUAAAGUUGCCUACUG
rnacentral:lncRNA from 1 species